AUUGAACGCUGGCGGCAGGCCUAACACAUGCAAGUCGAGCGGUAGAGAGGUGCUUGCAUCUCUUGAGAGCGGCGGACGGGUGAGUAAUGCCUAGGAAUCUGCCUAGUGUGGGGGAUAAACGUUUCGGAAACGGACGCUAAUACCGCAUACGUCCUACGGGAGAAAGCGGGGGAUCUUCGGACCUCGCGCCAUUAGAUGAGCCUAGGUCGGAUUAGCUAGUUGGUGAGGUAAUGGCUCACCAAGGCGACGAUCCGUAACUGGUCUGAGAGGAUGAUCAGUCACACUGGAACUGAGACACGGUCCAGACUCCUACGGGAGGCAGC
rnacentral:rRNA from 1 species